rnacentral:rRNA from 1 species
GAUGAACGCUGGCGGCGUGCCUAAUACAUGCAAGUCGAACGCUGGAAAUCUAGCUUGCUAGAUUGAAGGAGUGGCGAACGGGUGAGUAAUACAUAAGCAACCUACCCACGAAGACUGGGAUAAUCUCUGGAAACGGGGACUAAUACCGGAUAGGUAAUCGGAAGGCAUCUUCUGAUGAUUAAAGGUUAAAAACACUGGUGGAUGGGCUUAUGGCGCAUUAGUUAGUUGGUGAGGUAACGGCCCACCAAGACGAUGAUGCGUAGCCGGCCUGAGAGGGUGAACGGCCACAUUGGGACUGAGACACGGCCCAGACUCCUACGGGAGGCAGCAGUAGGGAAUUUUCGGCAAUGGGGGAAACCCUGACCGAGCAACGCCGCGUGAGUGAUGACGGCCUUCGGGUUGUAAAGCUCUGUUGUAAGGGAAGAACGGUAGAUAGAGAAUAUCUAAAUGACGGUACCUUACCAGAAAGCCACGGCUAACUACGUG